rnacentral:tRNA from 1 species
GGGGAAGUACUCAAGUUGGUGAAGAGGACACAUUGCUAACGUGUUAGAGGAGGCAACUCCUGCGGAGGUUCGAGCCCUCUCUUCCCCGCCA